GUUCCAUGAGUUUAUCAAGUUCCCGCCGGCCGAUGGGCCGUCCUCCCGUCCGUCAAUGAAAAAGAAGUAAAAGGUAUCCCGAUUGGGUGUCAAGUCGCCGUCGGUCAUAUCUAGCUGCGCCGAAGGCGUGGUCGCAUGAGCACUCUGUGAAGCAGAUGAGUACUUCAUUCUAAUAAGGUCGGGCUCCUAGCUACAAUCUGCGUGUUCGAUGAUUGAAAAGCAAUAGCGCUGUAAUCAAGUUAAUCUAUGUUUGUUCAAAAAAAAGGUUAAUCUAUGUCUCGGUGGCCAUGCAUCAUGCAUCUCAACUCAGCAGAUCAGCAUGUUAUCAUACAUCAUGCACCUCAACUCAGCAGAUCAGCAGGAUACAUACGAUUGAUGGUAUGCACCACAACUCAGCAGAUCAGCAGGAUACAUACGAUUGAUGGUCUCAAAGCCUAUCCUUCAUGCAUGCCAGCAAUUUCAGGUGAAUAGAGUUGUUGCAUGCCCACUGUCAGCCAGCUAGAGGGGGAUUACAAGACCAACCAGGUGAGAGUUUAGACUUGAGAUACACACAAUACACAGGCCAAUAUUGACCUAGAGGCUGGAGCUUUACUACUCUUUCCGUAGGUAACAUUUCCUUUUUCUCUCCCCGCGUCCAAUCAUUCCCAGUUCAUGUGUCUUCUCCUUAUUUCUUGCUGUAGGGCAACACACUGCAAGUGUUCGUCAAAUUGUUAGUAUCAAUGCGUUAAUUCUAGCAGAGAAUUUUCCGUAGGAACACAUAAUUUCAAUCAAAAAUCAACUCGGCAAUUUUUCUUCUUCAGAUUAUUUAUAAGGAAGGGUGUGCAAGGGUUGUCUACUUUGCAUAGGUUCUGGAUCAGACAAGGUAACUAAUCUAUUAAUUUCCCCCUGUGUAUGCUGCAAUACAGUAAUGGUUUACUUUAGUUAAGUUGGUAGCACUUCAAAAUGAUGAUUUUUUUUCACAAGGUGUGAUGUGGUCGCAUAUUUACCUGGAACUACCUUCUAAAUCAUAAUCCAUUUAAUCUGGAGAUAUCUAUUUGUGCAUUCAGAGAUAAUUACAUUAAUGUAAAAACAGGCUGCCCUCCUUAAGUAUAUUUAUUAAAAGAUCAAUUAUCUAUUUAUUGGAUUGGUCCAUGUUAAUGAUGCUCUAUUUGCAUAUAUGUUUAAGCUCAUCUCAACUGCAGCAUUCCUUCAUUCGACAUCUAUAUAGUGAAGCACAGUGGUCAUAUUUGCAAGCUCAUUCCUAUAAACUACUACUCCCUCCUAGCCAAAAUAAGUAUCGCAGUUUUGAACAGGGUUUAGUUCAAAACUAUGACACUUUUUAUGGAUCGGAGGUCGUAUGAUGCAUGUCCGCUGUUUGGAAUUGAUUGCAUUGUUUAAUAGUAACAGGUAUAUUUUUAAACUCCUUUCAGAUGUAGCAGUGAGAAGACAAGGCACUCCAUAGAAAAAAAUACAAUCUACUCUAAGGGUUUCAGUUCUAAAUAUGGUACAUAUGUUUUUCAUAGUGUAGGACUAAAGUCUAUUGGUGUUGGAAAUGCAACAUUGGAAUCCCAAUCCCUUGCUUUUAUUUGUAACGUCCAUGGUGAUCAAACCCCAAAGAUCUAUGAACCACCUUGACUUCACGAUAGCUACAUGUACAUGGCUGUAAAACACUUCUUUUGGCAUAAGCAUUCAAUAUGAAAUGGCUGACAUUAUGCAAUGCUUUUCAUAACUUGAUUGAACUUUUCUCAAAUAGAGAUUCAGAUCAUAAAAGAAAUCCAGUUACAGUUAAAAUAAAAAUUGAUAGUAUUUAAUGUUUUACAACACAUAAAAAUUGGAACAUACACCUAUGCAUUUAGAAGUUGUGCUCAUGAUCGUUCCUUUAUUUGAAGGGAUGCACAGUCUAGACUUGCGCAAUAUUAUCUUUCAUUUUUCUUUUCUAACAUUCUCAUAAAUGUUAAAUAUCAAAUGAUUGUUACCACCUUGCAUUAGAGUUUGAAAAGUGUGCUAUAUGCAGAUUUAAAAAAUUCUUAUUGGCGAAUUAGUGUGCACCAAAUGUAAAUUUCCAAUAAAUAUUGCUAUUUCAAAGAGAGAUGGUGGCAUGUUGUUUUCCAUGUACAUCCAUAUGGUUGUGGUCAAUUCUGUUCUAUAAGAAGUCUGUUGAUGGGUACGAAUCCAUGUUUUAUAUUCAGAUUCAGGACCGUGCAUGCUUCUCACCUUAAUAGACACAUGGCAUUAAUCAAAGCAUAUUUAGUGCAUGUUUCCACAAUAAGCUACACAUCAUUUAGACUAAGAUAUACAUAUGCAGGUUAGUUUAUCAUAUGGUUUAAACCUUUAUUUUGGUAGGUAUCAGUCAUCUGAAGACAUGCGUGGUAAAAAUAUUCGAUGACCAAGCCGGGCUGCCUUUGUCAAUGCCGAAGACAAAUUUUUGGGCUGCCUCGCUUUGGGACAGUGAUGACACAUCCACAUUGGAACUUCGGGAUGACAAAGCCGCUACAAACCGCACACUAUGCAAGAUAGAAGCAAGCGCAUCACCUACAUGCAUGCCGAUGGCAGAAGCGCCGCCGAUUGAGUUAUCAUGUGUAUAUGUGCACAGACAUAUACUUAUAUUCUUUUUAAUUUCACUCACUAAUUAUUAUCUAUCUCAUUAACACUUAUAGAGCCCUUAAAAAUAAUCACAUGUUUUCCAAGAUGUCAACAUUUUUCACUAACAGGCAUUUCCUUAAUUACGUUAUACUAUCGUAUCAAUUACAGAAACAAAGGAAGCGGUUAAUAAAAAAAUAUAACAGUGAGGAGAAGGAAAAGGGGGACCUUCAAACUUCGAAGAAUGUUGCCGAUGUGGAGGAUGUGUCUGGCCGGCGCUCUAGGGGCAGAAAACGUCUACACCAUCCUCAUACUAAAAUGGAUCAAAGCAGCUGCGGAAGACGAAAUCCACGCGAACAUCACCUGCACGGAUAUUGACAGCAACAACCCCGUGCAGAUUGAUGAUCUCGCCUCCUCGCUUGCGCAGCUACACCUUGGCCCCUGCUACCCCUCCAUCGCCGUUUACCAGCCUAGGAGGAGACCGAGGAGUCGUACGAGGAGACAAACCAGCCGCCGUCGAAGAUCACCCUGUGGCCGCACCAGUGAAUCGAGCUGCCGGGGUAGCUGCUGGUGAGGACGAGCAAAGCUCAAGGCAGGGAAUCAAGGAAUCAAGCUGAUGAGAGCUACCGGCGGCAGAAAUUUUGGAGUGAGAAAGGGGAUCGGGCAAGGGCAAGGGCAGGGAAAGAGGAUUUUAUUUUGGGGUGUGUAAGAAAGAUGUGUGGUCGGUGUUUGGUUCACGACUUUUU
rnacentral:lncRNA from 1 species